AUCCCAUUUUUUAUUCCCCUGUUAUAAUAAACUGUAAUACAAGAGAUUACUUCUGUCAGUUGCAAUUGUGAGAUAGCUACGUUAGCAAUAAUGGUGUCUUUACGUUUUCACUUGAUAUUGCUGUUUGUUGUAUUAUUCGCAGUAUGGCAAAUUGUUGAUUCUUUACAAUGCUACAAGUGUGAAUCUGAAUGUGCAGGAAAGAAUGAAACGACCAACUGUACCGAGGAUCAAACCCUAUGCAUGGUUAUAAAAAACGAUAGCGGGGCUAUUCAAAAACAGUCGUGUGCUAAAAAUGACGAGUGUGGCAAUACAACAGGGUGUACUACCUGCGACAAGGAUUUGUGCAACUUCUCGCCAUCCUUUGGGCCAUCUCUUUACAUAAUUGGAAUUGCAACCAUGUUAGUGGUCAGCAUGUUUACAAAUUAGUUUUUAGACUAUAACAAUUUACACGUUGUAUUAUUAUCUAUAAUGUAGAUGCUGUGUUCGUAAUUAAUUAAAUAUUUUUCCGUUCAACA